rnacentral:rRNA from 1 species
AUUGAACGCUGGCGGAAUGCUUUACACAUGCAAGUCGAACGGUAGAGGGGGGCAACCCCUUGAGGAGUGGCGAACGGGUGAGUAAUAUAUCGGAACGUGCCCAGUCGUGGGGGAUAACGUAGCGAAAGUUACGCUAAUACCGCAUACGAUCUAAGGAUGAAAGCGGGGGACUCGCAAGAGCCUCGCGCGAUUGGAGCGGCCGAUAUCAGAUUAGGUAGUUGGUGGGGUAAAGGCUCACCAAGCCAACGAUCUGUAGCUGGUCUGAGAGGACGACCAGCCACACUGGAACUGAGACACGGUCCAGACUCCUACGGGAGGCAGCAGUGGGGAA